ACAACCACAUCCCUUUCGAAACACCGGCUCCCGUACGAUCAUCGAAGUUAAGCAACGUUGAGCCUGGUCAGUACCCAGAUGGGUGACCGUUUGGGAAUAUAAGGUGCUACAA